rnacentral:rRNA from 1 species
GGGGAAUAUUGCACAAUGGGCGAAAGCCUGAUGCAGCAACGCCGCGUGAGCGAAGAAGGCCUUUGGGUCGUAAAGCUCUGUCGAAAGGGAAGAAACAAAUGACGGUACCUUUCGAGGAAGCCCCGGCUAACUACGUGCCAGCAGCCGCGGUAAUACGUAGGGGGCGAGCGUUAUCCGGAAUUAUUGGGCGUAAAGAGUGCGUAGGUGGUCUUGUAAGCGUGGGGUGAAAGGCAGUGGCUUAACCAUUGUAAGCCCUGCGAACUGUGAGACUUGAGUGCAGGAGAGGAAAGCGGAAUUCCUAGUGUAGCGGUGAAAUGCGUAGAUAUUAGGAGGAACACCAGUGGCGAAGGCGGCUUUCUGGACUGUAACUGACACUGAGGCACGAAAGCGUGGGGAGCAAAC